rnacentral:rRNA from 1 species
UACGUAGGGUGCAAGCGUUAAUCGGAAUUACUGGGCGUAAAGCGUGCGCAGGCGGUUGUGCAAGUCAUAUGUGAAAUCCCCGGGCUCAACCUGGGAACUGCAUUUGUGACUGCACAGCUGGAGUGCGGCAGAGGGGGAUGGAAUUCCGCGUGUAGCAGUGAAAUGCGUAGAUAUGCGGAGGAACACCGAUGGCGAAGGCAAUCCCCUGGGCCUGCACUGACGCUCAUGCACGAAAGCGUGGGGAGCAAACAGG